rnacentral:lncRNA from 1 species
GGGUUAGGGUUAGGGUUAGGGUUAGAGCUAAGGUUAGGGUUGGGGCUAGGGUUAGGGUUAGGGUUAGGGUUAAGGUUGGAGCUAGGGUUAGGGUUAGGGUUAGGGUUGGAGCUAGGGUUAGGGUUAGGGUUGGAGCUAGGGUUAGGGUUAUGGUUAGGGUUGGAGUUAGGGUUAGUGUUGGAGCUAGGGUUAGGGUUGGGCUUGGAGCUAGGAUUUUUCUGAGUGCAAUGAACCAACUCCCGAGUCUCUAGGACGUUCCUAAAAAAAUUUGAUUUUUUCCCAUGGGAAUGCAUGGGUUAGGAUUUGGGUUAGGGUUGGAGCUAGGGUUAGGGUUAGGGUUAGGGUUGGAGUUAGGGUUAGUGUUGGAGCUAGGGUUAGGUUUGGGCUUGGAGCUAGGAUUUUUCUGAGUGCAAUGAACCAACUCCCGAGUCUCUAGGACGUUCCUAAAAAAAUUUGAUUUUUUCCCAUAGGAAUGCAUGGGUUAGGGUUAGGGUUAGGGUUCGAGCUAGGGUUAGGGUUAGGGUUAGGGUUGGAGUUAGGGUUAGUGUUGGAGCUAGGGUUAGGGUUGGGCUUGGAGCUAGGAUUUUUCUGAGUGCAAUGAACCAACUCCCAAGUGUCUAGGACGUUCCUAAAAAAAUUUGAUUUUUUCCCAUAGGAAUGCGUGGGUUAGGGUUAGGUUUAGGGUUGGAGCUAGGGUUAGGGUUAGGGUUAGGGUUGGAGUUAGGUUUAGGGUUGGAGCUAGGGUUAGGGUUAGGGUUAGGGUUAGGGUUGGAGUUAGGGUUAGUGUUGGAGCUAGGGUUAGGGUUGGGCUUGGAGCUAGGAUUUUUCUGAGUGCAAUGAACCAACUCCCGAGUCUCUAGGAUGUUCCUAAAAAAAUUUGAUUUUGUCCCAUGGGAAUGCAUGGGUUAGGGUUGGAGCUAGGGUUUGGGUUAGGGUUAGGGUUGGAGCUAGGGUUAGGGUUAGGGUUAAGGUUGGAGCUAGGGUUAGGGUUAGGGUUAGGAUUAGGGUGGAGCUAGGGUUAGGGUUAGAGCUAGGGUUAGGGUUGGGGCUAGGGUUAGGGUUAGGGUUAGGGUUAAGGUUGGAGCUAGGGUUAGGGUUAGGGUUAGGGUUGGAGCUAGGGUUAGGGUUAGGGUUGGGGUUAGGGUUGGAGUUAGGGUUUGUGUUGGAGCUAGGGUUAGGGUUGGGCUUGGAGCUAGGAUAUUUCUGAGUGCAAUGAACCAACUCCCGAGUCUCUAGGACGUUCCUAAAAAAAUUUGAUUUUUUCCCAUAGGAAUGCAUGGGUUAGGGUUAGGGUUAGGGUUGGAGCUAGGGUUAGGGUUAGGGUUAGGGUUGGAGUUAGGGUUAGUGUUGGAGCUAGGGUUAGGGUUGGGCUUGGAGCUAGGAUUUUUCUGAGUGCAAUGAACCAACUCCCGAGUCUCUAGGACGUUCCUAAAAAAAAUUGAUUUUUUCCCAUGGGAAUGCAUGGGUUAGGGUUAGGGUAAGGGUUGGAGCUAGGGUUAGGGUUAGGGUUAGGGUUGGAGUUAGGGUUAGUGUUGGAGCUAGGGUUAGGGUUGG